rnacentral:tRNA from 1 species
GUCGAUAUGCCGGAGUGGUUAACGGGUGUGACUAGAAAUCACAUGGGCUCUGCCCGCACAGGUUCAAAUCCUGUUGUCGACG